CAUCGUAGACAUCUUUACCUGACAGUAUUAGACAAGUAUUUCAGUAACUCUAAUACUGCCUGGUAAGAUGACGUCGAC
rnacentral:pre_miRNA from 1 species